rnacentral:lncRNA from 1 species
CAGACUUAGAGACGACACGAGAGCCCUUUGUCCCUCGUUUAUGUGGGCGCCAUUGUGACUGUCUCGAUGCUGUGUGUGCGCUUUAGGCAAGCGGUUCAAACAAAUUAUGCAGCGUGUGUAUCAAGGAAGAGGACUUGACUGCCACUCACAUGGAAGGAAGUGCUCGUCUUCGCCGCUCGCGUCUGCUCCAGUGGACAGGUGAGACAGGUCUGGCAGAGUGGCCGGCCUUGGCAGUGCUGCUGGCGCAUCGCGCGGUGGAAUGAACGGAGAGACCAGCGAACCUUCGGCGACAGUCCCUACCGGUGUCAGAGGCGGACCCGCGGUGACAGUCACGUGACGGGCCUCCCUGGCGCUGGCGCCACCCGGAAGUCCACCGCUGCAGCCGUCCAUACUUGAGGCCGGGCAGGACAUCCUGCACAAUCGAGAGCGCUGCGACAGACACGCGGACACUUAUCGCAGCACUUGAGAGUAAGCGGCGGGAAGUAGUCCUGACGAACGAUGGACGGGACCCGACAACUUUUGGAUGGGCCGGGUUUCCAAAACCAGCCGCCGCCAGUGGUUUUCUCUCUCCAAGACGACGGUGGUAUUUUUUUAAUAAAAUAAAUUU